AAUAUUCUUCGAUAGCAGUUCAAAUGAAAUCCCCACAGCAGAGAGCUUUUGGGUCUAGCAGUGGAGCGAUAAACUUCUGCACUGGAGGGGCCUCUCCUCCCCUCGUUCUGCACAUGGAGCUCUAAUCCCCACGCCUGGGAUGAGUGCAGAAUAUGCACCGCAGGGUAUUUGUAAAGAUGAGCCCAGCAGCUACACAUGUACAACUUGCAAACAGCCAUUCACCAGUGCAUGGUUUCUCUUGCAACACGCACAGAACACUCAUGGAUUAAGAAUCUACUUAGAAAGCGAACACGGAAGUCCCCUGACCCCGCGGGUUGGUAUCCCUUCAGGACUAGGUGCAGAAUGUCCUUCCCAGCCACCUCUCCAUGGGAUUCAUAUUGCAGACAAUAACCCCUUUAACCUGCUAAGAAUACCAGGAUCAGUAUCGAGAGAGGCUUCCGGCCUGGCAGAAGGGCGCUUUCCACCCACUCCCCCCCUGUUUAGUCCUCCACCGAGACAUCACUUGGACCCCCACCGCAUAGAGCGCCUGGGGGCGGAAGAGAUGGCCCUGGCCACCCAUCACCCGAGUGCCUUUGACAGGGUGCUGCGGUUGAAUCCAAUGGCUAUGGAGCCUCCCGCCAUGGAUUUCUCUAGGAGACUUAGAGAGCUGGCAGGGAACACGUCUAGCCCACCGCUGUCCCCAGGCCGGCCCAGCCCUAUGCAAAGGUUACUGCAACCAUUCCAGCCAGGUAGCAAGCCGCCCUUCCUGGCGACGCCCCCCCUCCCUCCUCUGCAAUCCGCCCCUCCUCCCUCCCAGCCCCCGGUCAAGUCCAAGUCAUGCGAGUUCUGCGGCAAGACGUUCAAAUUUCAGAGCAACCUGGUGGUGCACCGGCGCAGCCACACGGGCGAGAAGCCCUACAAGUGCAACCUGUGCGACCACGCGUGCACCCAGGCCAGCAAGCUGAAGCGCCACAUGAAGACGCACAUGCACAAAUCGUCCCCCAUGACGGUCAAGUCCGACGACGGUCUCUCCACCGCCAGCUCCCCGGAACCCGGCACCAGCGACUUGGUGGGCAGCGCCAGCAGCGCGCUCAAGUCCGUGGUGGCCAAGUUCAAGAGCGAGAACGACCCCAACCUGAUCCCGGAGAACGGGGACGAGGAGGAAGAGGAGGACGACGAGGAAGAGGAAGAAGAGGAGGAAGAGGAGGAGGAGGAGCUGACGGAGAGCGAGAGGGUGGACUACGGCUUCGGGCUGAGCCUGGAGGCGGCGCGCCACCACGAGAACAGCUCGCGGGGCGCGGUCGUGGGCGUGGGCGACGAGAGCCGCGCCCUGCCCGACGUCAUGCAGGGCAUGGUGCUCAGCUCCAUGCAGCACUUCAGCGAGGCCUUCCACCAGGUCCUGGGCGAGAAGCAUAAGCGCGGCCACCUGGCCGAGGCCGAGGGCCACAGGGACACUUGCGACGAAGACUCGGUGGCCGGCGAGUCGGACCGCAUAGACGAUGGCACUGUUAAUGGCCGCGGCUGCUCCCCGGGCGAGUCGGCCUCGGGGGGCCUGUCCAAAAAGCUGCUGCUGGGCAGCCCCAGCUCGCUGAGCCCCUUCUCUAAGCGCAUCAAGCUCGAGAAGGAGUUCGACCUGCCCCCGGCCGCGAUGCCCAACACGGAGAACGUGUACUCGCAGUGGCUCGCCGGCUACGCGGCCUCCAGGCAGCUCAAAGAUCCCUUCCUUAGCUUCGGAGACUCCAGACAAUCGCCUUUUGCCUCCUCGUCGGAGCACUCCUCGGAGAACGGGAGCUUGCGCUUCUCCACACCGCCCGGGGAGCUGGACGGAGGGAUCUCGGGGCGCAGCGGCACGGGAAGUGGAGGGAGCACGCCCCAUAUUAGUGGUCCGGGCCCGGGCAGGCCCAGCUCAAAAGAGGGCAGACGCAGCGACACUUGUGAGUACUGUGGGAAAGUCUUCAAGAACUGUAGCAAUCUCACUGUCCACAGGAGAAGCCACACGGGCGAAAGGCCUUAUAAAUGCGAGCUGUGCAACUAUGCCUGUGCCCAGAGUAGCAAGCUCACCAGGCACAUGAAAACGCAUGGCCAGGUGGGGAAGGACGUUUACAAAUGUGAAAUUUGUAAGAUGCCUUUUAGCGUGUACAGUACCCUGGAGAAACACAUGAAAAAAUGGCACAGUGAUCGAGUGUUGAAUAAUGAUAUAAAAACUGAAUAGAGGUAUAUUAAUACCCCUCCCUCACUCCCACCUGACACCCCCUUUUUCACCACUCCCCUUCCCCAUCGCCCUCCAGCCCCACUCCCUGUAGGAUUUUUUUCUAGUCCCAUGUGAUUUAAACAAACAAACAAACAAACAGAAGUAACGAAGCUAAGAAUAUGAGAGUGCUUGUCACCAGCACACCUGUUUUUUUUUUUUCUUUUUCUUUUUUCUUUUUCCUUUUUUUUUUUUUCCUUUAUGUUCUCACCGUUUGAAUGCAUGAUCUGUAUGGGGCAAUACUAUUGCAUUUUACGCAAACUUUGAGCCUUUCUCUUGUGCAAUAAUUUACAUGUUGUGUAUGUUUUUUUUUAAACUUAGACAGCAUGUAUGGUAUGUUAUGGCUAUUUUAAAUUGUCCCUAAUUCGUUGCUGAGCAAACAUGUUGCUGUUUCCAGUUCCGUUCUGAGAGAAAAAGAGAGAGAGAGAGAAAAAGACCAUGCUGCAUACAUUCUGUAAUACAUAUCAUGUACAGUUUUAUUUUAUAACGUGAGGAGGAAAAACAGUCUUUGGAUUAACCCUCUAUAGACAGAAUAGAUAGCACUG
rnacentral:sRNA from 1 species